GUGAUUAUUAUUUAAUGUUAGAAAAAGAUAAGAGAAACCUGGAAAAUUCUCACCUAUUCUCAUCAAUUUCCUCUCCCUUUCUCUCGAACUACUAAGGACCAGCAAGAAGCUGGGAUUUUGUUCAGCUUGAUCUAGUGAAGUCUAGUUGAUUUGGUGUGCCCUAAUCCAAGGGCCCUGUAAAGCGUCGAGCUGUGCUUCCACUAAGGCUGACCGGCACACUUGAGCACAGAACGAGGUAAGGGAAAGGCAAAGCUGGAGGAACAGUGAGAUGGAGCUCGGCAGUGAUUGUACAUAUCGCGGCAGUGCAACCUGAAGGAUUUCGGUCUUUCAUCAUUUUGAAAUAAAGUUUAGUUGCCUGUUGUUUUUUUAAAAAAAUAUUAUAUGUACAUAUUAGUAAAAUACUUUUAAAUUGUAUUUUUGAUACUCGAGAUCCCGACCCAUAUAAGU